UACGAAGGGGGCUAGCGUUGCUCGGAAUCACUGGGCGUAAAGCGCACGUAGGCGGACUCUUAAGUCAGGGGUGAAAUCCCGGAGCUCAACUCCAGAACUGCCUUUGAUACUGGGAGUCUUGAGUUCGGGAGAGGUGAGUGGAACUGCGAGUGUAGAGGUGAAAUUCGUAGAUAUUCGCAAGAACACCAGUGGCGAAGGCGGCUCACUGGCCCGAUACUGACGCUGAGGUGCGAAAGCGUGGGGAGCAAACAGG
rnacentral:rRNA from 1 species